AGCAACAAAAGAGUUUGGCAGAUAAGGUGAAAGCACCUCGAACCUCCAAGUUCCAAACAGGCACAACAACGACAGUGUGGUGAUGCUGCUCCAACAAGAAUUGGAAAAUUUGGCAACGACAAAACCUUCAUAACAAACCAACCACAGGGUUAGGAGUAUUUUGUCAGAAGCCAGACUAGGUCAUUCUCUUCUGUAGAUAACUACGAUCCUAAGAUACCUUAAAUCAGAUGACACGUGGCAGAAAAAAUCUAUAGCAAGAGAAGAGAGAACAGAGCAUUAUACAAGCCAAACACUACUCCAUCCGCAAAAGCAAGGUGAUGACAAUUUU
rnacentral:lncRNA from 1 species